CCUACGGGUGGCUGCAGUGGGGAAUUUUGGACAAUGGGCGAAAGCCUGAUCCAGCAAUGCCGCGUGUGUGAAGAAGGCCUUCGGGUUGUAAAGCACUUUUGUCCGGAAAGAAAUCCGUCUGGCUAAUACCCGGACGGGAUGACGGUACCGGAAGAAUAAGCACCGGCGAACUACGUGCCAGCAGCCGCGGUAAUACGUAGGGUGCGAGCGUGAAUUGGAACGACUGGGCGCAGAGCGGUCGCAGGCGGCUGAAAUCCCCGGGCUCAACCUGGGAACUGCAUUUGUGACUGCAAGGCUAGAGUGCGUCAGAGGGAGGUGGAAUUCCGCGUGUAGCAGUGAAAUGCGUAGAGAUGCGGAGGAACACCGAUGGCGAAGGCAGCCUCCUGGGAUGACACUGACGCUCAUGCACGAAAGCGUGGGGAGCAAACAGGAUUAGAUACCCUAGUAGUC
rnacentral:rRNA from 1 species